CCAAAGGCUCUUUUCAGAGCCACUUACAUUUCCUGGAGAAGGGCUG
rfam:Ailuropoda melanoleuca scaffold760_5, whole genome shotgun sequence.